UCAUGACAAUCAUAUUCCUUCUGUCUGUCGUGAAUGAGAAUCAACACAUAAUACGACACCAUUUAUGCAUGAAGACCAAUCUCAAUUCACUAUGCAAAUAAACCCAGUAAGCAAUGCAUAUAUUGCAAUGACCUCAUCGCUGAUUGAUUUUGAAUGCUGAACAUUCUAACAAUGCAGUUGUAUGAUAUGGUGCUGUAACCGAUUUCAGUUCUCUCCAAACCCCGCCCUGUCAGGAGCCUGUCAGCCAAUCCGAUGUCAGCAAACCCAGGGAUCGUUUCUGAUUGGCUUAAAAUGGGCGGGCCGCUGCCCAUUUGCUUUUAUGGACCAUUUUCACACGUCCGCGAAGCGGAAGUCGUCAUAGUUGGGUAAACGUAACUAUGGCCGCUGUCAUGGUGUAAAUGUUUUCACAGUCCUUAAAAGUUUUGCCUGCGUUUACGUUUGGAGACAUCAACGGUUAAAUCUAAACUCAACAAAGGUUACAAGUUGUUUUUCGAGGGUAAUCUGCAUGACUUCGAAGUGCCUCACCUGAGUAUGUAGAUGACAAAAAGUGAUGAUCCGAGUAUUGAUUCUUCUGAAGAAUGGCAACCUCUAAUGGGGCGUUCAAAAGCAAGGAGGCAACAACACGCAAUCCUUUCAGCAUCACCACGGCGAAGAGGCAGGCCACCUAAACAUGCCUCUAAACUCUUCUUAAACCCUCCCACUUUAGCAUCAGGGACAGCCAUAUUCCCUAAAGGCAUCCCUAAUGCCCCCUCCUUGCCUCGACAGAGAGGAAGACCCCCUAAAAACAAAUCUAAAACCAUCCCUAGACCCACUACUUAUCCCACGCUCAUUCCUAAACCCAUUCCUUAUUUCACACCCAUCUAUAGCUCCACACCCAUAUUCAUCCAUAAUCCCACAACCGGCAUUAAUCUAAGCCCUAAUUCCACGCCUAUACCCACCACUGAUCUCACACCCUCCAUUAAACUCAGCCCUGAUUCCACACCCACAACUAAUACCGCACCGAUAGCCACACUCAUCUGUAAACCCACACCAACUGGACUUCUGUUAGACGCCGACACCAAUGAGAUCAGCAAUUUGUGGAAGGAAAGGGGACCAUUGGAAGAGGGUGUCAGUGCUAUUGAAGGAUGGGCGGCUCCAAUGAAACAAAGCCCAGAGCGUUUAAAAUCACCUGCGCCAACAGAGGCAAAGAAGCAACGACUCUCAUCCCCUCCAGCCGCAACUCCAACACGACGUAGAGGCAGACCUCGUAAACACACCUCUAAUCCUGAAACCAACUCAAAUCCCAACCCAAAUCCCACAACCACCUCCAAUCUUAACCCUAUUCCCACAAUUAACAUUAAUUCCAACCCUAAACCUGUAAUCACCUUUAAACCCAACCAUAAUCCCACAACCACCACUAAUCUCCACCCUAAUCCCACAACCAUGACUAACCUCAACCCUAAUCCCACAACCACUACUAAUUCCAACUCUAUUCCCACAAUCAACAGUGAUUCCAACUGUAAUCCUGCAGCCAUCUUUAAUCCCAACCAUAAUCCCACAACAAACAAUAAUCUCAACCCUAAUCCUGAAACCACCUUUAAUCCCAACCCUAAUCCCACAACCACCUUUAAUUUCAACCCUAGUCCCACAAUCACCACUAAUCCUAAUCCUGAGUCUUCAUUCGCCGUGCCUCUGGAAGACAGUGAUAGCAAUAGCGACCUUUCAGGAAAGGAUGAGGAACUGUGGGAAGAAGAUGUCGAUUCUGGUGAAGACUGGGAGUCUGUAAUGGAACAAAGUCCUGUGUGCAUGAAAUCACCUGUGUCAGCCUCUACCUUACCAUCAUUGUGGGAUGGACUUUUUAAACAAGCCACUAAACCCUCCUCUUUGCAAUUGAGAGGCGGGCCCACUAAAUCCACCUCUGAACCUGUCCCUAAUCUCACCACUGAAGCCACUUCUAAUCCCACUCCUGACCCCACAACCAUCCCUAGUCCCUCUCUGACAUCAACCUCUAUACCAACCCCUGAACCUAUCCUUAUUUCCAUUUCCAAACCCAUGCCUAAUCCCACCCCUGAACUUGAACCCAUCCUUAAUACUACUCUUAUACCGACCCCUAAUGGCACCAUGACAUCCACCUCUAAAACCACCCUGGAGCCCACUUCAAAUCCCAUAAUCACUGCCAAAUCUAAACCCAGACACAAACCCAAUCCUACCUCUGAAGCUAUCCCUAUCAGAAAGAACUCGAAGUCUACCCCAACUUAUUCACAGAGGGAAGCCAGAAGUGAGUCAACUUUUGAUUCAUACUGGGUGAAAGGAGGAAUUGCAUGUGAGCCAGAUAAGUGGUUUGAUGUCACCAUUGAGGAUAGGAAACGGGUACUGCCAAGAUUCUGUCCCAAGCAACCUCCGGGCCCACAGCUUGUGUUGGAAAGAGAUUAUACUCCCUUGCAGUUGUUUCAGCUGUUUUUUACCAGCUCUGUUAUAGAGACAAUUGUCAGAAACACCAAUUGCUAUGCCGAGAAGAGGGCAAAAGCUGGAAAGAAGUUCCUCUGGGUUCCUCUUACAGUCAAGGAGUUCCACUCUUAUGUGGCGUUAGUUGUGUACAUGGGUUUGGUGAAGGCAAAGUCUCUUUUGGACUACUGGGCAAGAAAGAUGAUGUACAACUUUUCAUACCCCCAGUCUGUCAUGUCUAGAACAAGGUUUCAGGCCAUAUCUUGGAAUCUCUACCUCUGUGAUCUUCAAGAAGAUGAGGAGAACAACAAAAAGAAAGGCACACCUGGUUAUGACCGACUGCUCAAAAUUAAGCCUCUGUAUACCGAAAUUAUUUCCGCGUGUAUGACGCAUUUUCACCCUAAUAGAGAGAUUACAAUAGAUGAGAGAAUGGAUGCCACAAAAGCUAAGAUUGGACUUCGAAUUUUGGAGGAUAAGCCAGCCGAAUGGGGUUACAAACUCUUUGUUCUUGCCGAUUGCUCCAGUGGAUACACCUGGAAUUUCUUUGUGUACGAAGGAAAGAUUUACACGUCAACAGAUAAAGGAGUCGGUUAUGAUGCAGUAAUGAGACUACUGGAUCACGAACUCCUCGGCACAGGUUACAGGUUAUAUACGGACAGCUUCUACACCAGUCCAACCCUUUUCUUGGAUUUGUGGCAAAACAACAUCCUUGCUUGUGGCACACUUUGUGAUACCUCUAGUUUACCAGAGGUUAGCGAUCUGAGCAGGAGAGCUGAAAAAGGAUCCAUCCGGUGGUAUCGACAAGGUCCGCUUCUGUUUCUAAAGUGGACAGACAUGAAAGAAGUCAUCAUGUGUUCCACGAUGCACAAGGCGUACGUGGGGGACACCAUCAGUAGGAACGUCAGGGGGGAUGGUGGUGUCUGUAGUGAACGUCAAAUCCCAAUUCCACCUGCUGUGAAGGACUACAAUAAGUAUAUGGGUGAUUUGGACCUCUCAGAUGCCCUGAUAGAGUAUUACAGUGUCAUCCACAAAACCAAACAAUGGUACAAGUCCUUCUUCUUCCAUUUUCUUGAAAUUGCGGUGGAGAAUAGUUACAUUCUUCACCAGCAAAUGGCAAAAGCACAGAAAGAGACCCCUCUCAGCCAGAAAGCGUUCAGGGAAACGCUGGUAUCCGAGCUGGAAUGUGUUGGCAAAGGCAAGAAGCCCUCAACAUCUGCUUCCCAAGAUCCCACCAGUGUGCCCACUGCACCUGAUAGUUCGGACACAGAGUCGUCUCUACCAGCCUCACCCUUCUCAUUCACCUGGACUGAACAAUGCUUUCCGGAGUAUUUUGGUACAGAUGUUACAUAUGGGAUGAAAAAUUGUGUCCUGUGUAGAUUGUCACAACAUAAAGUCAAGACUUCCAUAUUCUGCACGCACUGCAAGGUGCCAUUGUGUUUUGAGUCCUCGCGGAACUGCUUCAAGAAAUGGCACAUAAAGGGACACGCAAAAAAGCUUUAGGUUAGAUUUCUGGACAUUUCUGCUUAUUAGUAUUUUGUAUGAACACUUUUUUCAUAUGGUAUGACCUUGGUUCAUGGUACUUGUUAUAAGUAUGACUAUAAAAUACAGCAAAAAACUGUGUUGUCGUCUUUGUUUUCUACUUUUUUAACCAAUGCUUUCCUAGAGUGAUUAACGGUAAGUGCAUGAAUCGUGUUAAAGACAAAGUGUUUAAUUUUUGCACCACUAGUGGCACUAGAUGGAAUUGCAAUCUAGUUGUUGGAGAUGCUCAACCAAUUCCAUAUGUAUGGGUUGGUACAACCAGAUUCUCCAAAGAAAAAAGGCAGAUGAGUGAAGUGUUGGAAAAUGUUUUUCUUUUCUUUUUCUUUUUUCUUUUUUUGCAAUUUUGUUCAGCUACAAGCAUUACUCCAAAAAGGGGCAGGAGCUCCAAACCGCUAUUAAAGAUAUAGGGAGCCCCUUACCUAACACUUUCCCUAACCUUAAUCGAGAGUGGAAGUGAUGCCCACUUUUGGAGUUGGUGUAACCCCCUUCUGGAGUAACCCCGGUCUCUUUUGGAGAUUCCGCCCCCAUUUGGAGGUCUCUGGCCGGCAGCUAUACUUACUUAGAAAUUACGCAAUUCUCUUUUAAACAGCAGAUGGCCAUCUCAGAUUGUUAAGAAUGCACAAUGCUUGGUAAGAUAGAAGGCCAGCAAUCAAAAAUUGGGUGUAUAUCAAACAAGUAAACAAGCUGUUGAACUAAAUUGAUAUGGCAUACACGAUUCAUGUAGUUAUGUAAACAACUAGCACUACCAGUGUUUCAUUUGUAUUUUUUUUAUUCCGACUUGACAGUAUGUAACAUGCACCUUUAUGUUAUGACAAUACUUUCAUAAGUCGUUGAUUUGUUGAACUGUCUCGCAUCAGAAAACCUUUGUCAAACUCCCUGUUUGCUGUUCGAAAUGCCAUUUGCAUAUUGUGUGUAAAAAUGUUUUGAGACAACUCUACAAGGUAGGUCUCUUCACAAUGUUUCCAGUUUAUUUUGGUGGUGUAAAAUUAAGAAGCCAUUUCCAACUAAAUUAUAACAUUUCUCAAAGUCAUAGUUUAAGUAAUCCAAAUACAUAAAUUGCACCCCAUGGAUCAUCAUUAUUUGUCUUAUCUUUGGUUGUUACACAGUAAUACAGUGGAUAAAAAUAUAUAGUAAUAUUUAGUUUCUGGGUGGGCAAAUUCAGGUGAAAAGACAAAAUUUUGUCAAGAUAAUAUCUGCAGUGCAUCCUGUUGUACCCCAAAAUCAAACAAUAAAAUUAAGCCUACCUUAAGGAUUUAAUUUUUUGCUGUUCGUUGCAGAUUUUGUUUGGUUUUAAAAGCAGAUUCAUUUAAUACUUAAGCACAGUGAAAUUGAAAUACCUUGUUUUUGUAUCUGGUCUACAUUUCCCUUGUUUCUGCUUUAUGUUUCUCAGUCCCUGCGGGUGCUGCGUUCCUCUGAUCUCAAACCUUACGUCAUCUUCAUCAGGCCUCCUACCCCUCCUCUUCAUCCUCCUUCUCAGGAGCGACGUCCCACCCUGUUGACCAGAGGAGGGAAAAAACACAUGCCAGGGGACGGCAC